UACGGAAGGUCCGGGCGUAUCCGGAUUUAUUGGGUUUAAAGGGAGCGUAGGUGGAUUGUUAAGUCAGUUGUGAAAGUUUGCGGCUCAACCGUGGAAUUGCAGUUGAAACUGGAGGCCUUGAGUGCACACAGGGAUGCCGGAAUUCAUGGUGUAGCGGUGAAAUGCUUAGAUAUCAGGAGGAACACCGGCGGCGAAGGCGGCCUGCUGGACUGAAACUGACGUUGAGGCUCGGAAGCGUGGGGAGCAAACAGG
rnacentral:rRNA from 1 species